rnacentral:lncRNA from 11 species
GUUUUUAAUACAGCAGUUGAAUUUUUCCUUCAAGUUGAUUUUUUAUAUUUUUAACUAUGUUGCAUUUGUUCUAGAUCAGGGAAAAGAUGUUGGACAAAGAUGACGAUGAUCAUGAUGAUGAUGUAUAUUGGAGACACACUGCAGAUUGUGAAUAGGAGCCAUGCCCUAUUUCUUGCUCUUCCAGAAUACAAGAGGUUCUGAAGUUGGUAUGGAAGCAUCCUAGGAUGCUGAUUUAGUAGAGACAUCAGGCAAAUCCAAGAUGACCCUAUCGAGGGCUCAUUUACACAGAAGAAUAAGCUCUGGAUUUCCACUACAGCUAAUGGAAAUAGAAAAAAAUAUUCAUAACGUGUUGUUCCCAGUUUGAAAAAUAGGUUUCUGGCAGGAAAUCCCAUUUCUUCAGGCCUGGCCAUGUUUGCAUUCAAGCAUGUCAAUGAAGAGCUGUUGACUAUAACAAGUGCCAAGACUGCCUGCAAAUGAUGGAAGUUGAAUUCCAACAGUAUGUCAAAAAAUGUUCAUGCUCACCCCUUCAAUAUUAGAGCUAAGCAUGAUGUCAUUCAAGAGUUCAGGUUUGCAGCCCAGGGGCUAAUAUAUUUUCCGGCUAGAACAACACGAGAUGAAAGCCCAAGAGACCUUUCCAGGCUUUGUGACAUUUAAUGGAAAUUUGGAAGGAAUAUUGAAACGGUGACAUCUUUAUUAUGAGAUGUCAUUUGCUGUAGAUAUAUUUUCCUAUGAUGAAAUAAAUAAGGAAAAAGCAUACUGCAGGGAAUAACUUCUGUUUGUAAAUUGUUCAUUUGUCCUACUUAGCUAUGGCCAUAAAAUAAAUAUUGGGCAACAAAAAUAUGUACUAGAAAACAGUCAGGAUGGUCAGUCUCAAGAGAGUUAUGUGCAUAAAAACUGAAGAUUUUAAAAAAUAAAAUAAAAUAAAAACAAACCUAUGAGACAACGCUGUUUCUAGCAUUAUCUACUGUGAUAUAU